rnacentral:lncRNA from 1 species
CAGAAUCAUGGCAUUGAAUACGAAGUGGGCGGCUGAGUACCAAGAAUCUACUGGCAAAGCGGAAAAACAAGAACGAUGAAAAGAACAGAAAGCUGGACAAAAGGACAUAUCGAAAAUAUCUGAACUAAAACGAGAAUUAGAUGAUCUAAAAAUAGAACGAGACAGAAACAAAGAUUCUCGUUAAUAUAGAGGAGGACACAGAGGAUGUCGGAUUAACAACCAAAACAGACGUUAGUUUUAUUAAAGACAAAAAGAAUGUUAAUAUGUUAACUGAUAUGCUAUUUGAGUAUUUUUUUAUAAUGAACUCACAUCAAAACAAAUUAAUUAAAAUUAAAUCUAUACCGGAC